CGUAGGUGGCAAGCGUUGUCCGGGAUUAUUGGGCGUAAGGCGCGCGCAGGCGGUCCUUUAAGUCUGAUGUGAAAGCCCACGGCUCAACCGUGGAGGGUCAUUGGAAACUGGGGGACUUGAGUGCAGAAGAGGAGAGUGGAAUUCCACGUGUAGCGGUGAAAUGCGUAGAGAUGUGGAGGAACACCAGUGGCGAAGGCGACUCUCUGGUCUGUAACUGACGCUGAGGCGCGAAAGCGUGGGGAGCAAACAGGAUUAGAUACCCUGGUAGUCCACGCCGUAAACGAUGAGUGCUAAGUGUUAGAGGGUUUCCGCCCUUUAGUGCUGCAGCUAACGCAUUAAGCACUCCGCCUGGGGAGUACGGCCGCAAGGCUG
rnacentral:rRNA from 1 species